UGGGCAACCUGCCCUCAGCUCUGGGAUAACUCCAAGAAAUUGGGGCUAAUACCGGACAUGACCGCUGACCGCAUGGUCUGGUGGUGGAAAGAUUUAUCGGCUGGGGAUGGGCCCGCGGCCUACCAGCUUGUUGGUGGGGUAGUGGCCCACCAAGGCGACGACGGGUAGCCGGCCUGAGAGGGUGACCGGCCACACUGGGACUGAGACACGGCCCAGACUCCGUACGGGAG
rnacentral:rRNA from 1 species